rnacentral:rRNA from 1 species
GACGAACGCUGGCGGCGUGCUUAACACAUGCAAGUCGAACGGUAACGCCCUGUCUUUGUGGGAUGCGUGACUGACGGAUGGGUAAGUAACCCGUGAGUUCCCUGCACUUGAGUUUAGGUUAACUUAAGAAAAGUGGAGUUCAUACGGGAUAGGAGCUCCUGCUGCUUGGUGGGUCUUGGAAAGUUUCGGCGGUUGGGGAUGGACUGGCGGCUUAUCAGCUUGUUGGUGGGGUAGUGGCUUACGAAGGCUUGGACCGGUAGCCGGCCUGGGAGGGGGACCGGCCACAUUGGGACUGAGAUACGGCCCAGACUCCUACGGUAGGCAGCAGUGGGGAAUAUUGUACAAGGGGCGGAAGCCUGACGCAGCGACGCCGCGUGGGGGAUGAGGGCCUUCGGGUUGUAAACCGCUUUCGCCUGAGACGAAGCGUUAGUGACGGUACCGGGAGAAUAAGCACCGGCUAACUACGUG